rnacentral:rRNA from 1 species
GACGUAGGGCGCGAGCGUUGUCCGGAUUUAUUGGGCGUAAAGAGCUCGUAGGUGGUUUGUCGCGUUGUUCGUGAAAACUCACAGCUCAACUGUGGGCGUGCGGGCGAUACGGGCAGACUGGAGUACUGCAGGGGAGACUGGAAUUCCUGGUGUAGCGGUGAAAUGCGCAGAGUAUCAGGAGGAACACCGGUGGCGAAGGCGGGUCUCUGGGCCGAUACUGACGCUGGAGGAGCGAAAGCAUGGGUAGCGAACAGG